GCUCUUGUCUUCAUCCUCUCUCCAGCUCUCCCUGUGUUGCUGGCAAGUAGUUUCCUCCUGCCCUGCCUUCUGCCUGCAUGGCUGUAACACCUCCCACCUGGCAAUCAUACCUCUGCUGGAUGCUGUGUCUGAGCUGAACGGGCUUGCUUUUCCCACACCCCAAAACUCGCCACCUCCAUCUCCCCCUUCCGCCUGAGCUGCUGGUGGAAACAGCAGGGAACUGUGUGCCAUGCCUUGCCUUCUCUUGG